CCUACGGGUGGCAGCAGUGAGGAAUAUUGGUCAAUGGCCGGAAGGCUGAACCAGCCAAGUCGCGUGAGGGAAUAAGGCCCUAUGGGUCGUAAACCUCUUUAGUCAGGGAGCAAAGGCGUCCACGUGUGGACGAGAGGAGAGCACCUGAAGAAAAAGCAUCGGCUAACUCCGUGCCAGCAGGCGCGGCAUUACGGGGGAUGCGAGCGUUAUCCGGAUGUAUUGGGGUUAAAGGGUGCGUAGGUGGUGUGUCAAGUCAGCGGUAAAAUUUCGGGGCCCAACCCCGUCGUACCGUUGAAACUGACGCCCUUGAGUGAGUGAGAAGUAAGCGGAAUGCGUGGUGUAGCGGUGAAAUGCAUAGAUAUCACGCAGAACGCC
rnacentral:rRNA from 1 species